GAUGAACGCUGGCGGCGUGCUUAACACAUGCAAGUCGAGCGAAGCACUUUGCUUUGAUUUCUUCGGGAUGAAGAGCUUGGUGACUGAGCGGCGGACGGGUGAGUAACGCGUGGGUGACCUGCCCCAUACCCGGGGGAUAACAGCUGGAAACGGCUGCUAAUACCGCAUAAGCGCACAGAGCUGCAUGGCUCCGUGUGAAAAACUCUGGUGGUAUGGGAUGGGCCCGCGUCUGAUUAGGCAGUUGGCGGGGUAACGGCCCACCAAACCGACGAUCAGUAGCCGGCCUGAGAGGGCGACCGGCCACAUUGGGACUGAGACACGGCCCAAACUCCUACGGGAGGCAGCAGUGGGGAAUAUUGCACAAUGGGGGAAACCCUGAUGCAGCGACGCCGCGUGAGCGAAGAAGUAUUUCGGUAUGUAAACUUCUAUCAGCAGGGAAGAAAAUGACGGUACCUGACUAAGAAGCCCCGGCUA
rnacentral:rRNA from 1 species